rnacentral:lncRNA from 1 species
AUCCUCAAAGUUCCUCCAGAACUUUGGACCAGAGUGCCUUAACGCCAUAUUAAAUCAAGAGACUGUUCUAGGGACUCUGCUGAUGUCCAGCCCGUGACAAUUCCUCUUCACCCACAGGACGGACACCUUACUAGAGCAAAGCAAGUAAGAUAACGGGCAAAUCCAGAGACACGUGUACGGCUCCAGGUUCACCACGUCGCUGCCUGUGAUCACUUCCUGUCUCUCCCAGCCUGGACACAUGGCAAAUGCAGGAAGGACACGGCGCAAGACCCUGCUGGAGAGCAGCUGUUCACGUCGCGGUGAGCAGGAAGCUGAGAGCGUGCAGCAGGAGCCGGGAAGGGAGAAACCACCAUCCGGGUCGCUUCCCAGCAGGCCGCACCUCAUAAGAGCCGCAGCCCUCAGCCCUGUAAAAGAAAUUGAUGUCAACAUGCAAAGAAACAAAGAGAUCAAGACCAGAGAGUGAAAUCCAAAAUCAGUAUUCAGCUUCCACUCCUACAGAUGCCUCUGAUGAAUUCACUUCUCUCUUUGUAGAGCUAGGUGGAUUUAUUAAUAUUUCUUGUCACUUUCAACUAAAAGAUUGUUGAUUGAUAUCUCAAUAAAAUCCCA